rnacentral:lncRNA from 1 species
AAGCUGCAAACCAGAUCUACGCAACCAUGGUUGCAAAACAACAAUUCAGUGUCACCAUCACUAACUAUGCAGAGAAACACUCCAUUGCUGCUACUUGGAUCACCAUCUUCACUAAACCUACAGAAUAAUAUUUCAAUGUUGUAAUCCGGAUCAUUAGAAAACAUGCAGGAUAAUAUCUCGUUGUUGCAACCUAGAUCUAUAUUUAGAUGGCUGCAAACUAAGGAUCCUAUACUGCAAUCCAGAGCAAAUGAUAAUUUCAUGUUACAUAAUAACAAUUCAUUGUUGCAGAUGGGUCCUCACUAAACAAUGUUCAAAAUAAUGCUUCAAGGGUGCAAGUUGGAUCAUCAUAUUGGGUACUGUAUAACAAUUUGCUUAUGCAGCUUGGAUCGUCAUUCAAUUGGGUGCAGAAUAAUGUACUAAUGUUUCAACCUAGACCCUCAUUUAAUUUCCAGAAUAACAAUGCAAUGCUGCAAUGCGAGCCAUCACUAGAUGUGCAGGACGAUGAUGUGUUGCUGAUAUAU